CACAUUUGACAUUGCAGCAAUUACUGCCUGUGCACCGGAGAUUUUUUUCAGCGAAGAGACUCAUUUCACGACACUCUGCUAACUUCCGAAAAAAAAAAAAAUAGUGCUCAUCACAAUGGGCUGCAACGCUACCAAGGCUGCCCGGAAGCCCAGCGAGGACAAGACUGCCGCUGAGCGCAAGGUCGCGUGGGAGAAAAUUUGUCAGCGCCUGCCCCGCCAGAAGACGCCCGAGGACAAGGAGCUCCGCAUCGAGCUUUUUAAGAGGUUCUGCCAGAGCGACACGGAAAAGCUCACGAUGGAGGAGGUCUACCAGGGCUGUGUGAGCAUCCUCCAGCUCGAGGAGUUUACAACGCGCCUGCGCAGCAUCGUGAAACGUGCCUUCACUAAGGCAAAGAGCAUGGGCAACACCGCCGGCGUCGGCCAAUGCGACGACGAGUUUGUCGAAUUUCUUGAGUUUCGGCUGAUGCUGUGCUACAUAUACGACUACCUCGAGCUCACCGUCAUGUUUGACGAGAUCGACACCUCCGGCAACAUGCUGGUGGACGCGAGGGAGUUCAAGGCCGCCGUGCCGAAGAUGGGUGAGUGGGGCCUUGUCAUUGAGGAUCCGGACACAAUCUUCAAGGAAAUCGACGACAACGGCUCCGGCCAGGUGUCCUUUGACGAGCUCGCUGCGUGGGCCACUGCCCGCAAGCUUGAUGCUGACGAGCAGGCUAACAACUCUGAGUAACAUCUGUGACUGCUCUCUUGCGACCUUGAAAACACGCACACAAACGAAAUCAGAAACAAAAGCUGAAGAAAGCUCUGAGACUGCCGAGAAGUGGGCUGGUAGCGACGCGAAGCGCCUAUGCGUCUACAACUCGGUUGUCUCAUUGACGCCUCUUUGUUGUUUUUACAUUUAAGCUUCUUCUAUAUUAUCUUCGCACUGCUUCCCGUGCAUUUUCCAAUGUAUUGUGCUUGCUUUCCCUUUUUGUUUGAAUUGAUUCUGGAGUCUUGUUCCGUUACCCUUUUCUCAUUCAGAAUCGCUGCGCUUUAGAGUGGUUUCUAAAACCAAAAGGAUGAAAUAGCAGAAGGGACGAAAAGCUGCAUGCGCGCUUGACCCUGAGUCGAAACUCAAGAGAAGGCAUGCAUUGACUUUAUCCACUAUAUGAAAAGAUGAGAAAAAGGAUCCUUUUUUUUGCUCUUGGUUUAAGCUGAUUUACAGUGCUGACUUUAGCGGCUUGAUAUACGGUUGAGGUGCUCGCGCUUUUUUAUUCGUUUUCCCGCACCCUUUCUUAGUGCAACAUGCACCCCCAGUGUGUAGAGCCUCAUUGCUUCAUAUGUAGCUUAGAAUCUGGAAAUCGCUUUUGAGAUACCUGG
rnacentral:misc_RNA from 1 species